UUUUCUUCCCAGCAGCUACAGAUGAUCAAGAAGGGCUGCAGAAAGGAGGAAACAGAAACAAACAGCACACCUCUUGGUUUAUUUUUAUUCAUUUCAUCAGUUUCAAGGAAAAUAUGUUGGGAGUUCCUGGCAUAGAGAAUGUCACAAAGACAUGUUUUCAAUAGUAGUGCUAUCCCUAGGGCAAAGAAGACCCAGAGAAAGCCCAAAUGGCUGAUGGAACAAAGUCAGACACCGUGCCACCUGUCCACACUCCUUGGCUCUGCCAUCAUGCUGAAGAUCGUUUUAAAGGACUGGCUUCCCUCCCCCCAAAAUUAAAAGAGCACAGACUGAGAAACUGAAUGUAGGAGACAGCAGUGGAUUAUGCUGUUCUCAGGGGUCACCUCAGGUUUGGAAGCAUUCUUUCAAAUUAACCCAUCUCAGGCCAUCUGCAGAGAAGAAAGGUGGUACCUAACUUUUUUUCUUGUCAGCAUUUGGUAGGGGUGUUUUAUUGACCAAAUAUGUUCCCACAACCUGGUUUUUUGUGACUAAGUAAAUAUAGUAGAUUUUUAAAUUUUAUCAUCAAAAUCUAUAGACAAUUUUUGAUUAAAAUAGACUCCAUAUCUAUGUCCUGCUUUUCUUCUUAUUAUUAAUUACAUUGCUGUAUAAAAGAACAAGACUUCAGAAUCAAGAAUAUCUUGUCUCUUCGCAUUGAAUUUAUAUACAAGGUGCUCUUUCUUUAAUGCUGUCUCAAAGGAAAUCUUGUAGGUAAAGGUAAAUAUUAGGAUGCAUCCAAUUACAUUUACACACACAGUUACAUUUACACACACAUACAUGCAUACAGACUGAUACACGUGUGUAUAUAUAUAUAUGAAUUUACUAAUUGAUUUUAACUAAUAUUUAUAAGAGCCAGUUGGAUUGAUAUAUAUUGUUGAACCUGAAAAAUAUUUAUUAUAUACAUGUUUAAAAUACACACAGAAAUAAAUAGUAAUUGCACCAGACAUUUGAAACUGUACUAAAAUAUAAGCUGUGAACAUUUUGUGAUCAUUACAAAUUCUUACACUGA
rnacentral:lncRNA from 10 species